GACGAACGCUGGCGGCGCGCCUAACACAUGCAAGUCGAACGAGCGAGCGAGAGCUUGCUUUCUCGAGCGAGUGGCGAACGGGUGAGUAACGCGUGAGGAACCUGCCUCAAAGAGGGGGACAACAGUUGGAAACGACUGCUAAUACCGCAUAAGCCCACGACCCGGCAGCGGGUAGAGGGAAAAGGAGCAAUCCGCUUUGAGAUGGCCUCGCGUCCGAUUAGCUAGUUGGUGAGGUAACGGCCCACCAAGGCGACGAGCGGUAGCCGGACUGAGAGGUUGAACCGCCACAUUGGGACUGAGACACGGCCCAGACUCCUACGGGAGGCAGCAGUGGGGAAUAUUGCACAAUGGGGGAAACCCUGAUGCAGCGACGCCGCGUGGAGGAAGAAGGUCUUCGGAUUGUAAACUCCUGUUGUUGAGGAAGAUAAUGACGGUACUCAACAAGGAAGUGACGGCUAACUACGUG
rnacentral:rRNA from 1 species